rnacentral:rRNA from 1 species
CUGGCUCAGGAUGAACGCUAGCUACAGGCUUAACACAUGCAAGUCGAGGGGCAGCAUGUUGGUUGCUGCAACCAAUGAUGGCGACCGGCGCACGGGUGAGUAACGCGUAUCCAACCUUCCCUAUAGUAGAGGAUAGCCCGGCGAAAGUCGGAUUAAUACUCUAUGUUUUCCGUUGCAGACAUCUAAGAUGGAACAAAGGCUUGCCGCUAUAGGAUGGGGAUGCGUCUGAUUAGGUAGUCGGCGGGGUAACGGCCCACCGAGCCAUCGAUCAGUAGGGGUUCUGAGAGGAAGGUCCCCCACAUUGGAACUGAGACACGGUCCAAACUCCUACGGGAGGCAGCAGUGAGGAAUAUUGGUCAAUGGGCGAGAGCCUGAACCAGCCAAGUAGCGUGCAGGACGACGGCCCUAUGGGUUGUAAACUGCUUUUAUGCGGGGAUAAAGUUCACUACGUGUAGUGUUUUGUAGGUACCGCAUGAAUAAGGACCGGCUAAUUCCGUGCCAGCAGCAGC